AUGAGUACGCCAUCGCCGCUCUCAGGAACAUCGAUGACUACUUCACCGACGAGCCGCAGAUGUCCUUCAACCUUUACCUCUACCGCUCGUCCAGGCCCGGCGAGGGGUGGACCGCCAGGGUGGUGUCGGUGGAGGAGCCACUCAGGGACACGGUCUGCCCGGUGGAGGAGCCCAAGCGGGUUCCAUGAGACGACCAAGGCGAUCACGCUUGGAGGCGGCGCCGUUGGCUGGGUUGAUCUCUGGCGUGGCAUCCUCGUCUGCAACGUGUUCGAUGAAAAGCCUGUGCUCCGGGACGUGCCGCUGCCGCUGCCGGCAAGGGGUAACUGGGAAAUCUACCACAGAUGUGGCCCUUACUUUGCUCGGGACAUCGCGGUCAGCCCACAGAAAGACGUCAUCAAGUAUGUCGAGGUUGAAAUUUGCCUGCCAAGGAAGCCGACUACUACAAAGACGACUGAAACCUGCCACCCCCCGGAGCCGGAGUCCUACCUGGAAUGGUUCCGCCAACAGCAACACGAAGAUGAGGACGACGACGAUGAUGAUGAAGACGUUGGUGGCUGGAAGGCCACAACAUGGAGCUUGCCUGUCCCUAUUGCUUCAUGGGAGAACUGGCACUUUGACUACACCGUCGAUGUCGAUGACAUUACUGUCAACCCAUUGCAUUGUAAUCUGCUUCCAAGGCAGCUGCAGCCCACAGAGGCACAAGCAUUGCUGCCAGGACUCAUCACUGCUUUCCCCAUCAUGAGUAUGGAUGACGAUCUUGUCUACCUCUUGUCCAAGGCCAGCCCCAAAGACCAGAUGCAAGUUGUGAUUGCUGUUGACGUGAGGAGGAAGAUGCUGCUGGGAGUGGCCAAGCUUGUUACUGGAAAAGACUUCACUUUUAUGCGCACUUGCACCAGUGAGAUCUCAAAAUAUAUCAACAAUAAAUCUUCAGGGGAUGUUUCCAAAGCAUCGGCCAGUUUAUCUGCUGCAAGCAGAGGGGUAGCGGAUAAACAAACUGAAGGUCUCAUGCAGAAAUUUACCAGUAGACAGUGUCCUGGAGAAAAUUCAAAGGAACGUCAAAAGCUUUUUGAAUAUCUACGCAGUAGAAGAUCGUAA
rnacentral:rRNA from 1 species